CACACCUUUAUAUACCGAGUCAGCACUUUUAUAAGGCGAUGAUUGUUAAUCUUGCUUGUGUAAAUCUAUGGAAGCUGAGUUAUCAGAUCAAUCAAAAGAAUUAAGCAGCACUGACUUAUAAUUAACUCCAUCAUGGUUUCAACAAAAAAAAGUUUAUAUUAGAAAAAUAGAACCGAAGAUGUAGAUGAUUUAGUCGUAAAAUAUUGAAAUCACAAGUUUUUUAUUGGCUAGUUAUUGUAUUAGUAUUUUUAAAUACUUGUGUGUUAACAUCAGAACAUUAUAGACAAUUGAAUGACUUGAUAGUUUUCAAAGUAUCGCCAAUCUGUUUUUUGUUGUGUUAUUUACAUUUGAAAUGCUGUUAAAAAUGUAGUUUAGGCUUCCAGGGUUAUUUUGUGUCUUUGUUUAACCAUUUUCACAGUUUUGUUGUGUUAUGUAGUAUAUUAGAGGUGGUUCUAAUUUAUACAGAAGGUGUCAGUGUGUUGAGAUGUGCCAGAUUAUUACGUGUCUUUAAAGCAACCAGCUUGGUGGUCGAGAACGGAAGAACAAAAGAAUGAGGAGAAAGAACGCACUCGAUCCAUCAGAAGAUCCAAGACCAUAAAGCUAUAUCAGUUGUAAAAAUUCUUCGUGUGUUGAGAGUUCUACGUCCUUUACGUGCCGUAAACAGAGCUAAAGGAUGAAGAACAUCUUUUAACAGAAGAAAAUCCUUUAAUUCACGAGUUAAUAGCUAAUAUAUAGUUUCCUGUCGACUAUACUUGUAGAACAGAAAUUUACUGAGUGAUAAACUGGAGAAGAUCUGUGAAGAUUGAAGGCCGUCAGAGCUGCUGUAUUCGAACAUAAACCGUCAUUAAAAGUUGGUUGUGAUUAUUUGAUACGUGGUUGUGUCAAGAGAUAUCCACUAGAAAACUGUCCACUGUGUAGCUGAAGAUCCUGAGGAGGUAAAAAAUGUCCUUCCUGUGAUAAACGAAUUUAUCAUGUAAAAUGGAAAGUGUCAGUUGAAGUAAUGGAGAAUUGAUAGGCACAAAGAGAACUAGAAGAAGUUGUAGAUUUCUUGAAAUAAUUUAAAAUAUACGUCUACUUUUGUUGAGAAAAAUACCAAAUAUGUAUAUUCUACAAUCUCAGCUUCAAAUUUACAAUUUACUUACAAAAAUAUUUAUUUACAUUGUAUUCAAUGUCUCUAAUAUAUGAAAUAUUGUAAAAAUUGAAUCACUGGGGGCCGUGUCAGGCCCCCAAAUAUUCUGUUGAGUAUAUACAAAGAUAUGAUGAAUUAAAAAUUGGUCAAUAUUCAGAAUCCUCUACAGAUGAUAUAAAUGGGAUAUGAUCAAAAGUCAAGGCCACCUGUAAUCUUAGGUAAAAUCUUCUGAUUACUCUGUUUUUAAUCUGACUCGGGAGAUUUUCUAACAUUAAUUUUACUUUCUUAAAGAUGUAUCAUAUUGUAAUAUAUAGAAUUCGGUCUUUUAUAUAGGGCUAUUAUUGUUCAAUGUACACUUAUUAUAAAUUAUAUCAUUGCAUACUUCUUUUCCAAAAUGUUCAAUCUUGCAUUAAAAUGGUCCUUAGUUACGAACAUAUUUAUAUGUCACAACGUAGACGUCCAUCUUGUGUCAGAUUGUUACAUAUAUUUCUAUUUGUUUAAUGAUCAUUGUCAACACUAGUAUUUUAUCUUGGUUGUUAUAAUAAUUAUGUUUUAUAACCAGGGUUGACGUAGCUCAACUGGAUUAUAUUGUUACCUAUUACGUCUUGAAUAAUUAAACAUGGUAUGAUCACAUUUGAUCAAAUUACUCGGUUCAAUAGUUAUUGUCCAUUUUGUCUGUUUAUAAUCAAUCUUUUUGUUGUACAUCUCAAAUUAUUCCUGGUCAAAUUUAAGUAAAACGGACAAGUUCGUUUUAAUAUUUAAGUAGGCUAUUUUUCAAAGAAGUGGCGACAUUCAGAAAAGGGACAAUUAUUCAUUGGUUGAUAACGUCACGUGACAGUCUAAUUUUCCUAUAUAAAGGGAGCUAGAAUGUCGGAAGAGCAGAUAACGGUUCGUUAUAUCCAAAGCUAACCAAGAGAUAAAACCGAUACUUUAUAACAAUUACCGUAUAAUCACAACCUAUUAACUAAUUAGAAAGGUGAGAAUAGUGGCCUUGAUGGAACUUGGUCGUACAUGUUAAUGUUACAAAUGUCACCAUAAGUAAGUCUGCAGAAUAUGCCUCCAUUAUCACCGGGUUAACCAAUGUGCGACGUCAAGGACGUUAAGGGUUUGUGUUGUGAACGUUAUCUCCCACCACGCCGGACACCCAUAUUAUUAUAGAAUGAUUCACUAACUGUAUUUUAUUGUUAUUCAUGUCAUGACAUAACCUUGAAAUAAAGGAACGGGCAUAUUGAACAUA